rnacentral:rRNA from 1 species
UACGUAGGGUGCGAGCGUUGUCCGGAAUUAUUGGGCGUAAAGGGUGUGUAGGCGGUUCUUUAAGUUUGGUGUGAAAUCUCCCGGCUCAACCGGGAGGGUGCGCCGAAUACUGAGGGACUAGAGUGCGGGAGAGGAAAGUGGAAUUCCUGGUGUAGCGGUGAAAUGCGUAGAUAUCAGGAGGAACACCGGUGGUGUAGACGGCUUUCUGGACCGUAACUGACGCUGAGACACGAAAGCGUGGGUAGCAAACAGG